UCCUACGGGGGGCAGCAGUGAGGAAUAUUGGUCAAUGGUCGGGAGACUGAACCAGCCAAGCCGCGUGAGGGAGGAAGGUACAGAGUAUCGUAAACCUCUUUUGUCAGGGAACAAAGGCGGGGACGUGUCCCCGGAUGAGUGUACCUGAAGAAAAAGCAUCGGCUAACUCCGUGCCAGCAGCCGCGGUAAUACGGGGGAUGCGAGCGUUAUCCGGAUUUAUUGGGUUUAAAGGGUGCGCAGGCGGUCUGUUAAGUCAGCGGUCAAAGCCCGGGGCUCAACCCCGGCCCGCCGGUGAAACUGGCAGG
rnacentral:rRNA from 1 species